GACGAACGCUGGCGGCGUGCUUAACACAUGCAAGUCGAACGAAGUGGCGAACGGGUGAGUAACGCGUAAUCAACCUGCCCUUCAGAGGGGGACAACAGUUGGAAACGACUGCUAAUACCGCAUACUGAAGGAGGGGAUUGCGUCUGAUUAGCUAGUGGGAGGGGUAACGGCCCACCAAGGCGAUGAUCAGUAGCCGGUCUGAGAGAGUAAGCGGCAACAUUGGAGCUAGUACACGGCCCGGACUCCUACGGGAGGCAGAAGUGGGGAAUCUUCCGCAAUGGACGAAAGUCUGACGGCGCAACGCCGCGUGAGUGAUGACGGCCUUCGGGUUGUAAAGCUCUGUUAAUCGGGACGCGGUACCGGAAUAGAAAGCCACGGCUAACUACGUGCCAGCAGCCGCGGUAAUUC
rnacentral:rRNA from 1 species